rnacentral:lncRNA from 1 species
GUAGACUUCGUCCGGGCUCUUACGGGAGCCGGACUUCCGCCCUGAACUCCUGUUGCAGGUAGACCUCACCCCGAACUCCUACAAGGGCCAGACUCCGAGCUCCUACCGCAAGAGACCCACCCCGAGUUUCCGCUACAAACGAUCUACUUCAAAUUUCUACCACGAGCGGCCCAUGCCGGAUUCCCACCAUAAGCCUUCAUCCAAGCUUCCAUUGCGGAUGAACCUCUCCAGUGCCAUCCGACAUCCACCGUCGGUCGGCCAUCUGUCGAAGUCUGCGCAAAAUUGGACUGCGUUUGCAGAAAGCCUCUGACCGAGCUCCUACGGCAAGUGGUCCUCGCCUGCCGCCUUAACGCCCAAGGCACCCAACAGGAUUUGCAGCAUCCGAGCUCCUCUC